GCUGGGUGUGGUGACGCAUGCCUGCAAUCCCAGCAGCUUAGGAGGCUGAGGCAGGAGGAUCUUCAGUUCAAAGCCAGCCUCAGCAAAAAGUGAGGCCCUGAUCAACUCAGUGAGACUCUGUCUCUA
rnacentral:sRNA from 1 species